GAUGAACGCUGGCGGCGUGCCUAAUACAUGCAAGUCGAGCGAACGGACGAGAAGCUUGCUUCUCUGAUGUUAGCGGCGGACGGGUGAGUAACACGUGGAUAACCUACCUAUAAGACUGGGAUAACUUCGGGAAACCGUAGCUAAUACCGGAUAAUAUUUUGAACCGCAUGGUUCAAAAAUGAAAGACGGUCUUGCUGGCACUUAUAGAUGGAUCCGCGCUGCAUUAGCUAGUUGGUAAGGUAACGGCUUACCAAGGCAACGAUGCAUAGCCGACCUGAGAGGGUGAUGGGCAACACUGGAACUGAGACACGGUCCAGACUACUACGGGAGGCAGCAGUAGGGAAUCUUCCGCAAUGGGCGAAAGCAUGACGGAGCAACGCCGCGUGAGUGAUGAAGGUCUUCGGAUCGUAAAACUCUGUUAUUAGGGAAGAACAUAUGUGUAAGUAACUGUGCACAUCUUGACGGUACCUAAUCAGAAAGCCACGGCUAACUACGUG
rnacentral:rRNA from 1 species